GACGAACGCUGGCGGCGUGCUUAACACAUGCAAGUCGAACGAUGAAGCCUAGCUUGCUAGGUGGAUUAGUGGCGAACGGGUGAGUAAUACGUGAGUGACCUACCUUUGACUCUGGGAUAAGCCUGGGAAACUGGGUCUAAUACCGGAUACGACCAAUCUCUGCAUGGGGUGUUGGUGGAAAGCGUUAUGGAGUGGUUUUAGAUGGGCUCACGGCCUAUCAGCUUGUUGGUGAGGUAAUGGCUUACCAAGGCGACGACGGGUAGCCGGCCUGAGAGGGUGACCGGCCACACUGGGACUGAGACACGGCCCAGACCCCUACGGGAGGCAGCAGUGGGGAAUAUUGCACAAUGGGCGCAAGCCUGAUGCAGCGACGCCGCGUGAGGGAUGACGGCCUUCGGGUUGUAAACCUCUGUUAGCAUCGAAGAAGCGAAAGUGACG
rnacentral:rRNA from 1 species